AGGACGAACGCUGGCGGCGUGCUUAACACAUGCAAGUGGAGCGACGAACCAGGGCUUGCCCUGGGGCAGAGCCGCGAACGGGUGAGUAACACGUGGGUUACCUGCCUCAAUGACCGGGACAACCCGAGGAAACUCGGGCUAAUACCGGAUGUGCCCGCAAGGGGAAAGGAAGCUUCGGCCUCCGCAUUGAGAUGGGCCCGCGGCCCAUUAGCUUGUUGGUGAGGUAACGGCUCACCAAGGCUUCGAUGGGUAGCUGGUCUGAGAGGACGAUCAGCCACACUGGGACUGAGACACGGCCCAGACUCCUACGGGAGGCAGCAGUGGGGAAUCUUGCGCAAUGCGCGAAAGCGUGACGCAGCAACGCCGCGUGGGGAAGAAGGCUUUCGGGUUGUAAACCCCUUUCAGUUGGGACGAAGCUUCGGCGGUUAAUAGCUGUCUGGAGUGACGGUACCUUCACAAGAAGCACCGGCUAACUACGUGCCAGCAGCCGCGGU
rnacentral:rRNA from 1 species